rnacentral:piRNA from 1 species
UGAAAAGGGAUGAAAAUCAAGUC